rnacentral:lncRNA from 1 species
ACAAUGUUUAUGUACCACAAAGAGAUUGGAACAUAAAAUCCUCUUUAUCAGUAAAUAUUUCUGCAAAAUCACUGGUCUUGAAAAUCUAUCUCCUUUACUUAUACAACGGAAAAUUUAUUUUAUAAGGUGAUGAAAGGUAAUAAAAAUAGUGAAUCUUCAUAAAUUUGUUUUAUACCAUUGUGACAAGCGGGGCCGACGACCAAAGUCUCAAGUGCGAGCGCAAUGUACUCCCCUGUACAACAAGCACAUAAAUCUUAAUCGUCGUCCAUAGCCCAACCAAACCAUGAUUUAUCUGUAACAAUAAUAUAAUAUCAUUCACUUAGGUUUACAUUUGAACUCUCCAUUAUGCAGGAAGACAACAUGAAAAGAAAACGUGGGCCACAUAGCAAGGAAUGUGAGAAACCUGCCAAGGUCGUUAAAACAAAUCAAAUAUGCACUCCAACAAGGUGAUCCAUUACUAAUAUUGACUAUUUUAUAUGUGCUAUACUAGUAAUUUUUAAAAAACAAAGCAAUUCCAGUUAGGCACGCUGAGGUUCCUAAUUGUGUAGCUUCCACGAGAAAAACUAUAUUUUAAUUUUUAUCUUAUUGAUGCAAAUCCAGAGAAUCAGCAAAGAUCACAAGAUCGGAAAGGGUAAUGAAACUUCAAGAAAAGAAAAACAGACAAUCUUCAAUGAUACAUGGAGGUCUGCCAGACUCCGCGGACACACACAAAGGACAACCUUUGCUCCAUGUGAAGUAAGAAAAUCUUCACGAACUUUCUCUCUUAUGCUGUUACGCAUCUUAUCAUCCAUUUGGUUUAAUUAUAAUUCUCAAUUCAAAUGCUAAAAUUUAACAUUAAUGAUGCACAUCAUACAGCAAGAAACAUUAUGUACCUUUCUUAUGCUAUCCACAUCUACUCUGCUAUUUAUGUGCUGAAAUCUUCAAGCGCACUAAUUUAGAAUGGUCCAUCAAAUCUCAAAAAAUGAUAUACGUAUCAAUGAACUAUAGCCAACGCAAAAAAAUGUUAAAGUAACACAAGGAGUAAUAAAUUCAUUCUGCCAGACAAAAAAUAAUCUGUUAUUUAUACUAAUUAGUAUUUAUGUUUAUGCAGGGGAAGUAACUCAACAGAAAAAGCAAAAGAGGCAAGACUACAUAGGAAAAGAAUAAUGCAAACCAAGAGGCUUGCACAACCAUCGACAAAAGAAGGAGAAAUGAUUGGUCAGGCUGGUAAUACUAUGAGGUAAGGAACAAGAAAUUACAAUCAAGCUCUAAAAUUUGGAGUUUCAUAAAUCCGAUAUUUUCUGCUAUGUACGUGUACAGCUCAAAAAGUAAUAAAAUGUCUACUACAUCGAAAUCGGUGAGAAAGAAACAAAGACAACAUUUGUAAGUUAUAUCAACUUUUUAUAGUAUCAACAACACCAGACAUUAAUAAUAUUUCAAUUUAUGCUAAAUCCAAAACUUGAACAGGCAAUCAGAGAGGACUCAUAUGGAAAAUUGGAACUUUGGAAAACCCAAAUGCAAGUGUGAAUGACGCGGUGCAAUUUUCUGGUACGAAGAAAGAACUUCAGGUAGAGCGAAAAGCAUGCCAUCUUUUGGACUAUGCUGCCAACAUGGCAAGGUUGAGUUGCCACCAUUAAGAGAGCCACCGACUUACCUAGCGAAAUUGCUAAGGAAAGACAACGAAAAGAUGUCAAAACAUUGCUUGCAGAAUAUCAGAUUGUACAACUCCAUGUUCGCUUUCACAACAAUGGGAGGAAAAGUAGACAAAGAAAUAAACAAUGGCAAUGGGCCAUAUGUUUUUAGAAUGAAUGGGCAGAACUACCACAGAAUAGGUACUCUAUUGCCUGAAGGUAAAGAUAAACCACGUUGGGCACAACUGUACAUCUAUGACACUGAAAAUGAGGUAAGAAACAGGAUUAAUGCUUCGACAAGGGAAGAUAAAAGGGAGUCAAUAGAUCCUCACAUCGUAGAGGGCCUUAAAAAUAUGUUUGAUCAAGAUAACAUACUUGCAAAAAAAUUCAGAAUGGCAAGGGACAGAUUCGAAGAAGGUGACUAUCAAAACGUGAGAUUAAAACUAAUCAAUAAGCGACAAUCAGAUGGAAGACGAAGUGACAUGCCAUCUGCAUGGGAAGUUGCAGCCUUGAUUGUCAAUGAUGCCACGGAAAGUAGAAAAGGACGGGAUAUCAUUGUUGAGUACAAAAACAUGAAGCCAAGAAGAAUAUCAGAGAACCAUCCAAAAUUCAUGGCUAUGCAGUAUCCACUAUUAUUCCCCUAUGGAGAAGAUGGGUACAGACAAAAUAUACCUUACAUAUUAAAACAAGGUGCAAAAUGUAAGAGAAAGCAUGUAACAAUGUUGGAAUACUAUGCAUAUUGUCUACAACAACGUACUAACCAAUCGAUGCACUUGCUGAUGUGUGAAAAGCUUACAUUGCAGUUCAUUGUGGACGCCCUUGCAUGCAUUUUGCAGUACAGACUGGACUGGAUCAAAAAUCAUCAAGGAAACCUAAGAACGGAAUUAUAUGCUGGCUUACAGGAUGCAAUAGAAAGAGGAGAUACAAGGGCUGACCAAGUAGGAAAAAGGAUACUGCUGCCAUCCACUGUCACAGAUAGUCCUAGAUACAAAGCACAAAACUUCCAAGAUGCUAUGGCAAUAUGUCGGUGGGCUGGAUACCCAGACCUAUUUGUGACAUUCACGUGCAACGCAGCUUGGCCGGAGAUUGAGGCUAUGCUACACGAAGUGGCCCAAACAGCAUACGAAAGGCCUGAUAUUGUUGAUCGAGUAUUCCACAUAAAGCUCAAGGAGUUCAUGAGAGAUAUAAGAGAAAGGGAAUACUUCGGAAAAACACUCGCAAGUAAUAUAUCAUCCUGAAUUUAUCAAACAUAUUAUUUAACUGCAUGAACUAACUGUUAUUUUAUAAAAUUGCAGUUAUAUACACAAUAGAGUUUCAAAAAAGAGGCCUCCCACAUGCCCACAUAGUCAUAUUCCUCGACAAAAAGGAAAAGAAACACAAGUAUCCAGAGCCAUCAGAGGUAGAUAGAGUAACUUGCGCAGAGAUACCAGACAAGGAAAUUGACCCGGAAGGAUAUGCAGCUGUCGAAAACUACAUGAUGCACGGGCUAUGUGGUGCAGCAAACACAAAGUCACCAUGCAUGGUCGACAGCAGAUGCAUAAGAAAGUUCCCAAAAAAUACAACAACAAUACCACUAUCGAUAAAGAUGGAUACCCAGUAUAUAGAAGACGAGACGAUGGAAGAUUCAUACAGAAAGGGGAAGUAAAGUUGGAUAACAGAUACGUAGUCCCAUACAACAGAAAUCUGCUGGUGAAAUAUCAAGCACAUAUAAAUGUCGAGGUGUGCAACAGAUCUUUAUCCAUAAAAUACCUUUUUAAAUACAUAAAUAAAGGUGAUGACCAAGCAACAAUACUAAUAGAAAACGAUGAGAUAAAAAGGUACCUAGAAUGCACAUAUAUAACAGGGAAUGAUGCGUGUUGGAGAAUAUUUCAGUUCGAAAUGCACUUCAGAGAUCCCUGCGUCGAAAGGUUGCCUUUCCAC